AUUGAACGCUGGCGGCAUGCUUUACACAUGCAAGUCGAACGGCAGCGCGGGCUUCGGCCUGGCGGCGAGUGGCGAACGGGUGAGUAAUACAUCGGAACGUGCCCAGUAGUGGGGGAUAGCUCGGCGAAAGCCGGAUUAAUACCGCAUACGACCUGAGGGUGAAAGCGGGGGAUCUUCGGACCUCGCGCUAUUGGAGCGGCCGAUGGCAGGUUAGCUAGUUGGUGGGGUAAAGGCCUACCAAGGCGACGAUCUGUAGCUGGUCUGAGAGGACGACCAGCCACACUGGGACUGAGACACGGCCCAGACUCCUGCGGGAGGCAGCAGUGGGGAAUUUGGGACAAUGGGCGAAAGCCUGAUCCAGCAAUGCCGCGUGUGUGAUGAAGGCCUUCGGGUUGGAAAGCACUUUUGGCGGGAACGAAAAGGACUGUGCCAAUACCACGGUUCGAUGACGGUACCCGCAGAAUAAGCACCGGCUAACUACGUG
rnacentral:rRNA from 1 species